UUGGAUUGGGGAUAACAUUGCGAAAGCGAUGCUAAUACCGGAUGACAUUCUAUUUACGUAGGUGGAUAGAAUCAAAGAUGGCCUCUUGACAAAGCUAUUGUCUGGGGAUGAGCCCGCGUACCAUUAGCUAGUUGGUAAGGUAAAAGCUUACCAAGGCAACGAUGGUUAGCUGGUCUGAGAGGAUGAUCAGCCACACUAACUGACACACGGUCCAGACUCCUACGGGAGGCAGCAGUGAGGAAUUUUGCGCAAUGGGGGAAACCCUGACGCAGCAACGCCGCGUGAGUGAUGAAGGUUUUCGGAUCGUAAAGCUCUGUCGAGUGGGAAGAAAGUACAAAUGGUUAAUAUCCAUAAGUACUGACGGUACCACAGAAGGAAGCACCGGCUAACUCCGUGCCAGCAGCCGCGGUAAUACGGGGGGUGCAAGCGUUAUUCGGAAUUAUUGGGCGUAAAGAGCGCGUAGGCGGUUUAUUAAGUCAGAUGUGAAAGCCCGGGGCUUAACCUCGGAAGUGCAUUUGAUACUGGUAGGCUUGAGUACGGGAGAGGGAAGUGGAAUUCCUGGUGUAGAGGUGAAAUUCGUAGAUAUCAGGAGGAACACCGGUGGCGAAGGCGACUUCCUGGACCAAUACUGACGCUGAGGCGCGAAGGCGUGGGUAGCAAACAGGAUUAGAUACCCUGGUAGUCCACGCAGUAAACGGUGAUCACUAGGUGUAGCGGGUAUUGAAUCCUGCUGUGCCGGAGUUAACGCAUUAAGUGAUCCGCCUGGGGAGUACGACCGCAAGGUUAAAACUCAAAGGAAUUGACGGGGACCCGCACAAGCGGUGGAGCAUGUGGUUUAAUUCGACGCAACGCGAAGAACCUUACCUGGGUUUGACAUCUCAGGAAUCCUUAUGAAAAUAAGGAGUGCCCUUCGGGGUGCCUGAAGACAGGUGCUGCAUGGCUGUCGUCAGCUCGUGUCGUGAGAUGUUGGGUUAAGUCCCGCAACGAGCGCAACCCCUAUCUUUAGUUGCCAGCAUUUAGUUGGGGACUCUAGAGAUACUGCCCCGGUUAACGGGGAGGAAGGUGGGGAUGACGUCAAGUCCUCAUGGCCUUUAUAUCCAGGGCUACACACGUGCUACAAUGGGCUGUACAAAGGGCAGCGAGCCUGCGAAGGUGAGCGAAUCCCAUAAAGCAGUUCUCAGUUCGGAUUGGAGUCUGCAACUCGACUCCAUGAAGUUGGAAUCGCUAGUAAUCGUGGAUCAGCAUGCCACGGUGAAUAUGUUCCCGGGCCUUGUACACACCGCCCGUCACACCAUGAGAGUUGGUUGUACCAGAAGUUGUUGGGCCAACCCUUCGGGGAGGCAGGCACCUAAGGUAUGGCUGAUGAUUGGGGUGAAGUCGAAACAAGGUA
rnacentral:rRNA from 1 species